GUGCUCCGCUGUGUUGUUUUUAACUCUAGUCCUGGCGCCGCUGUGUCGGAGUGAAGAAGUCGCCGUCUGGCAACCCGGCCGAGCGAAUAAACAGGAAGUGCCGCCUCACGGCCACUCCACGUGCCCUUUCCCGCCGUUGUACCUAUCGCUUCGGCCGGGGUCAGUCGUCCCUUUACCAGUCCGGGGUGCGAAGGGGGACACGGUUGCGUCGGACGCCGCCGCCAUGGGGACGCACAGCGUCGCAGGAGCGCUGCUCCUCUCACUCUCCGCGCUGCUCUACUGCGCCACGCUGGCCGUCAACGCCUUGGCGGGAUCCGGGACGAGUCCGUUCCUGCAGAGUACAGGGAACGUGUCCAGGAAAUAUGAGACCGAAAUCACUCCUGCUGGAAGAACCUUCUCCAUCUGGUCAAUAAUCUACAUGUGGCUUCUGGUGAUGAUCACCUACCUUCUCUCGUGGCUCUGCAGAAGGAAUGUGAAUGGAUGGAUGUACUGCAGCCCAGCGGUUCUGCCUCCUGGAUUCUUCAUCUCCUGGAUAAUUAACAUGAUUCUGAACAUCACAUGGCUUUUUCUGUGGGACAGAGAAUAUGUGAUCACAGCAAUGGUUGUUCUGGCUUUUAUCGCCUUCACCAACUACCUCCUGAUCUUCUUCUCCUGCUGGGGGCUGCGUACUCACGGCCAAUGGCUGAGCCAAAACCAUGUGAAAGACCUGUGGUGCAUCAGAGCGCUUGUCCAAAAUGGCAUAGCUGUAUAUGCUACAUGGACAACUAUAGCCGCCUUACUCAACUUCACCGUGGUGCUGAAUGUCACGGGGGUGUCAAAAACCACUGCAGCCACCACGUCUCUGUGUUUCCUACUGAUUGAGGUCCUUGGAUGGUUUGUGCUAGAAAACUUUGUGAUUGAGAAGCAUGUGAGAUACAUCCUCACCAUUUAUCCUGUGGUGAUUGUUGCCCUGUCUGGAAUUAUAUCCAAACACAAUGACCUGGUGGAACCCGGAAUAAACGCCAAAUUCUCAGUUGGACUCCUGACUCUGGCUUGUUUGCUGUGUGUUGCCAGAGUUGUAAUGGUGAUAUGGCGACACAGAAAACGGCCCCUUUAUCAAGAAGUGAAAUGAAAAGAAAUGGAAGGUGACAUGUGGCCAGAUACCACUGGCGUGUGUGUGUGUAUUUUCUUGCCACUACUAGCUAUGGUAACAGUAUUGUAUGUUAACAUGAAUUUUCAUAACACUACAAGACAGCUGUUCUUCAUCUUGAAGGAUUUACUCUGUAUUUGACACAUUUAAUUACAUUUUAUACUGUCUGUUUUAGAAUAAUAAUAUAUAUAAUAUAGCAACAUUAAUGUUAUUAUUCUUUAUAUUGUUUUGAAUAAUAAUCUUUUAAGAAUUAAAAGUUAUUUUAUAUACUGAACAAACCUUUUUUCAUUCUUAAUAAAAUAAAAAUGCAAUAAAACCUGUGUAUUAUU
rnacentral:lncRNA from 1 species